GAGUUUGAUCGUGGCUCAGAUUGAACGCUGGCGGCAUGCCUUACACAUGCAAGUCGAACGGCAGCACGGGAGCUUGCUCCUGGUGGGCGAGUGGCGAACGGGUGAGUAAUGCAUCGGAACGUAUCCUGGAGUGGGGGAUAACGUAGCGAAAGUUACGCUAAUACCGCAUAUUCUGUGAGCAGGAAAGCGGGGGACCUUCGGGCCUCGCGCUCUUGGAGCGGCCGAUGUCGGAUUAGCUAGUUGGUGAGGUAAAGGCUCACCAAGGCGACGAUCCGUAGCAGGUCUGAGAGGAUGAUCUGCCACACUGGAACUGAGACACGGUCCAGACUCCUACGGGAGGCAGCAGUGGGGAAUUUUGGACAAUGGGGGCAACCCUGAUCCAGCCAUGCCGCGUGAGUGAAGAAGGCC
rnacentral:rRNA from 5 species